AGACCUUGACAGUUGUAACCGAUAGACUGGGCUGGGGCAACGCUGAUGAAAGGCAAAUUCCUGAGAGAAAAAUCACCCAGAUUUUUCAGUGCCUUCUCUAGCUUUCUAGAAGUUGUUAUGAGUGGACCUGACUACCUAGAGAGAGUAAUACAGAAGCUCCGUGCCGAUCACAGCUACCUCAUUACCAUGUUCCUCCAAGAUGGCCGCCCCUGAGGAGAAUCAUCAACUGGGCUUUACGGAAGAGAGAAAUCCAAACGACCAUCAGCAACAAAUGAAAGACUGAAGUUGAAAGUUUCAAGAUUGUCAAGAAUGACGAGUUGGACUUGGUCUAGUUACUUCCACAGCAGCAGGAGGAACAUGUGUGUGACUCAGGAUAACUGGGGAAGCCUUGGCUAGGCUUUCCUCAUGUCAACCUACCACUCAAAGGGAGAAAACCUCCUGAUCAGAGGAAAUCCAUAAUUUUUGAAUGCUGGCCGAGGUCUGUGACCUCUGACUGAAUGGUUUCCAAGCUCCGAAUUCCUAGGUGAUGUUUUCAUUUGUUCACACUUGCUGAAGAAGGGAAAGGCUCUCUGAUUUACGUGUAAGCAAAACAAUCUAAACAGUAGGAUAAAAUCAUGUUGGAAUGGAGUUCUGUGUGGAUGCUCCUUUGAACCAAAUCAGUUCCACAACUGACCCUGUCAGGGACAUAUAAAUUUAGCAUUUUGGUGUGGAUACAGAAGACGAGAUUAACACAGAUCAAGUAACAUGGAAAUAAAAAAGGAGACAAUGCUGGAUGAUACAGGGGCAGCCAACAAGAGGAGAAAACCCAAGCAUUGGCAAAUGCCUCAUUAUCCAAAGAACACUCCUUAUACUCCUGAGAAUUUGUGGCAGUCCUGGGUUAAACGAUGAAGGCUUCUUAUUCUCAUGUAGGUCUCACAGCCUCUUGUCUCCCUGAGUUUUAAACACAUUGCAUUACCUUUCCAGAGGAGGUGUGGAGCAAAACUGUGUUGAAUGAACUGUAGAUGGAAAUUCUCUCCUUCCCACCGAGGAGCCGCUGCAGGUUGCAGACUCCCAGAAUGCCACACUGAGAAGAGGAGGGCUAAAAUUCUAGAGCAGAAUCCCUGGGGCAGCCCCUGCUGAAGAAGGGUGCAUCUGUUGAGAAUCUCAUCACCGCCCCCACCCCGCCCAGCCUUCAAUUUAGAGGAAUUUCUAGUUCACGCAGAAUGAAGACAAGAUCACAUAAGUGAGGACGACGCCCCAUUUACAAGUGUGAUUUGGAAGACUGAAGUGGAAACCUUGGGAAGGGGCCUCAGAGUAUGUCAGCUGGGGUCAGACGGGAACAGGAGUCUGGCUCAACACACAUUUAUUGCACUCCUGUUUCAUGCCAAGAAAUGUACCAAAAUCUGGGACUGUGUAACACAGCAAAGGAAAAGACUCAUCUCCAGGAAGCCCCCUUGUCUAGGAAGAGAAAUUGAAUAUCAGCAUAAGGUGGUGAAAAGCUGUGAAGGAGAUGAGUGCCAGGAGUCCAUGGAGGAAGGAUUCUAGCCUGGACAGUGUUUCAGGUGGAAAAAAAUUAUUCUUCAAUAUUCGUAAGAAUGAGAUUGGAUAAAGGACACAAAUGAAGUCCAGACCAAGUACAAAAACAUGAGCUCCUUCUCCUGGCUGCUCAACUAAUGCAGACUUAGCCUGAGGAUGAGAUAACUAUCUCAACAGCCAUUCCAUUGCUCAGACUUCAAAUUAUAGUAAUUAUGACAAUUUGUGCCAAUAGCCACGAGGUGGGAUUUUUGAUGUGGUUAAAAAUAACAUCUGUAAAACCCAAUAAAAAUUACAUUUUGCUA
ensembl:lncRNA LINC01206 long intergenic non-protein coding RNA 1206